GGCUUGUGUGGGCAGGACAGCAGCCGAAGCAUCUUCGGCGGAGAUUGAAGAAAGGUUCAAGCCGAACUGGUUGAUGACCAAAGGCUCCCCAGCAGGAAGGUCUUCAUCCCGACUCUCACUGGAGAUCACCAUCGUGAGCAGGUCCCAGCUCAUAAAUCGGCACAAUAGGAGACUGUUACACCUGGAACCAUCGGAGACAGGAGAAGCCCUCAGAUCUCUCUCCGGAUCCAAUUGGAUGAUUUCCAUCUUGUCGAGGUCCACUUGAAAAUAUUUUAGAGAAUGUGCCCAUGUCUUCCAAUCGGCCUCAAGGCCCGUAAAUCCCCUUGCCGAUAGCUCGUCAUUAUACCAGUUCGGGUAACCGCCUGGAAAAUCAACAAGGUGUUGUUAUAAAUGACCUCAAAAUCGACCAAAUCCUGCAUGUUCUUGUCAAAACGCAGCUUAUACUUCAUGACCACCGAUCGUCGAGCUCUUUUCUCCUCCUUAGGAUCUCCUUUGCCUUCAACGCAGUCAGCCUCUAGAGC
rnacentral:lncRNA from 1 species